GUGGGGAAUAUUGCACAAUGGAGGAAACUCUGAUGCAGCGACGCCGCGUGAGUGAAGAAGUAAUUCGUUAUGUAAAGCUCUAUCAGCAGGGAAGAUAGUGACGGUACCUGACUAAGAAGCACAGGCUAAAUACGUGCCAGCAGCCGCGGUAAUACGUAUGGUGCAAGCGUUAUCCGGAUUUACUGGGUGUAAAGGGAGCGCAGGCGGAAGGCUAAGUCUGAUGUGAAAGCCCGGGGCUCAACCCCGGUACUGCAUUGGAAACUGGUCAUCUAGAGUGUCGGAGGGGUAAGUGGAAUUCCUAGUGUAGCGGUGAAAUGCGUAGAUAUUAGGAGGAACACCAGUGGCGAAGGCGGCUUACUGGACGAUAACUGACGCUGAGGCUCGAAAGCGUGGGGAGCAAACAGGAUUAGAAACCCGGGUAGUCC
rnacentral:rRNA from 1 species